UACAGGGGGUGCAAACGUUGCUCGGAAUUAUUGGGCGUAAAGCGCGCGUAGGCGGCUACUUAAGUCGGAUGUGAAAGCCCUUGGCUCAACUGAGGAAGUGCACCCGAAACUGAGUGGCUAGAGUACGAAAGAGGGUCGCGGAAUUCCCGGUGUAGAGGUGAAAUUCGUAGAUAUCGGGAGGAACACCAGUGGCGAAGGCGACUACCUGGCCUGUUCUUGACGCUGAGGCGCGAAAGCUAGGGGAGCAAACGGG
rnacentral:rRNA from 1 species